rnacentral:tRNA from 1 species
GGGUACCGCUCAGUGGUAGAGCGCCUGCUUAGCAUGCAUGAGGUCCUGGGUUCAAUCCCUAGUACCUCCA